GUCAAUAGCCUAACGGCUGAACCAGCAAUUUGGGGGAAUGUAUAGCGAAAGCUAGUUGUAUUAUUAGUUAAUGCAAGAUCGACUACGUCGACUAAAGUUCUAGGUAGAAUAAUGAUGAUGACAAUUUUUUACCUAUAUGUCUUGACCAAGUCUCGUGCCAGCAGUCGCGGUAAUACGUGGAAGACUAGUGUUAUUCAUCUUUAUUAGGUUUAAAGGGUACCUAGACGGUAUUUCUAGCCCAAAAUAGGGUACGGAUUUACUAGAGUUUUAUGUGAGGAGGGGAGUACUCGUGGAGUAGAGAUGAAAUUUUGUUAUACUAUGAGGUAACUGGUGGCGGCGAAAGCAACCUUCUAUGUAUAAACUGACGUUGAGGGACGAAGGCUUGGGUAGCAAAUAGGAUUAGAUACCCUAGUAGUCCAAGCAGACAAUUCUGAAUGCCAUAGAUUAGAUUAUUUUUGGUCUAUAAAUGAAAGUGUAAGCAUUCCACCUUAGGAGUAAUGUGGCAACACAGGAACUGAAAUCAUUAGACCGUUUCUGAAACCAGUAGUGAAGUAUGUUAUUUAAUUUGAUGGUCCACAAAAAACCUUACCACAACUUGAAUAUUUUUAAAUUAAUACAAGAGUUGCACGGCUGUCUUCAGUUAAUGUCGUGAGAUUUUGGUUAACUCCAUUAAUUAACGUAAACCCUUACUUUAUUUUUUAUAUAAAGUAGAUCGCCUAUAUAUUGGAUAUGAUAAGAGGGACUAAGACAAGUCAUCAUGGCCUUAAUGUUGUGGGCUAUAGACGUGCCACAUAUGCCUACACAGAAGGGAUGCAAAAACUGUGAAGUUG
rnacentral:rRNA from 1 species